rnacentral:rRNA from 1 species
GGAAUAAUCGUUGGAAACGACGACUAAUACCGCAUACGGUUCUUGGAAGGCAUCUUCUAAGAAAGAAAGGAUUUAUUCGGUAAAAGAUGGGCCCGCAUCUGAUUAGCUAGUUGGUGAGAUAAUAGCCCACCAAGGCAACGAUCAGUAGCCGACCUGAGAGGGUGACCGGCCACAUUGGGACUGAGACACGGCCCAAACUCCUACGGGAGGCAGCAGUGGGGAAUAUUGCACAAUGGGCGAAAGCCUGAUGCAGCAACGCCGCGUGAAGGAAGACGGUUUUCGGAUUGUAAACUUCUAUCAAUAGGGAAGAAAGAAAUGACGGUACCUAAAUAAGAAGCCCCGGCUAACUACGUGCCAGCAGCCGCGGUAAUACGUAGGGGGCAAGCGUUAUCCGGAAUUACUGGGUGUAAAGGGAGAGUAGGUGGCAAGGUAAGCGAUAUGUGAAAGCCUUAAGCUUAACUUAAGGAUUGCAUAACGAACUAUCUAGCUAGAGUACAGGAGAGGAAAGCGGAAUUCCUAGUGUAGCGGUGAAAUGCGUAGAUAUUAGGAAGAACACCAGUGGCGAAGGCGGCUUUCUGGACUGAAACUGACGCUGAGGCUCGAAAGCGUGGGGAGCGAACAGGAUUAGAUACCCUGGUAGUCCACGCUGUAAACGAUGAGUGCUAGGUGUCGGGG